rnacentral:piRNA from 1 species
CCUCACCUACCAGAUGAUGGGCGGCUGGGC